rnacentral:lncRNA from 10 species
AGGGAAUUAAAAAUGGAUUUUUAACAUUGAGGAACCAGUGCUACCAUCAGGUUUUCACUUGGCUCAAGUAGCUGGUAAUGAUUAAUUCAAAACCUGUAUCGGUAUGUGUACAUCUCCUAACAGUGGUCCUCUCUAGGGAAGGAGGAGAAAUUAGUGAGUGCCUCUGUAUCUGUGUAUCUGUCUGUGUGUGCUUGUGUGUACACAGGGGAGAGAGAAAGUCAAUGAUAUGCUGCUGGUAAAUAUUUAACAACUAGCUCUUGGGGAUGGGGACAGAGGAAUCACUGAACGUGGAAACUGGAAAUAUGCCCAAAAAGGCCUUGUGAGCAUGUAGAAGCUGGCCUGGCACACCACUGAACAAAUUGGACUUUGACAUGUACUUUCAAAAUUUUUGUUCUGCUUUAUACAUAUAUGUCACUUUUUAUUUAUAAAUGCUUUGUAUAUAGGCUAUAUACUUGUAUGCUCUGUCUACAUAUAUAUUUACAUACAUACAUAAGCCUAGCUAGAUCUAUGCAAAAAUUAGUCCUAAUGGUAAUUUUCCUAAUUCUUGUAUAAAUUUCCGUGUAACAUCCACUUGAGCAUGUAACAUCGUGAGUGAUCUCACAAACCGGAUUGCUAUAGGGUCCCACAUGACUACCAGGCCCAAGGAUGGGAUGUUCCCUUUACAAUUGAUUACCAGGAUUUACCCUCCUAGCCCACAUCUGGUAGAAGACAACAUCUGGCUCCAGUGUUGAGAAAGAUGCGGAAUGGAAAACUUGAAGAUGGUUUGAGUUAGAGACAGAGUGGGAUCUAACUUCA